AAAGCUUGAGAAAUUAGAGAUUCUUUGGUGAGGCCAGGACAUGUAGCUAAGAACAUCAUGCCAUGCAUGCCCUGGAUAUUGUUUAGUAGCUUUUUCUAAAACUCACUUUCUUUAACAACAUUGGACUUAACUUUUGCUAGCAUUGUUAUAUCCAACUCUUUUUAAUUUAUUAAGUGCUUCUUUAUUCUAGAAUUAUUGGAUGACAAAUAUUUUGAAUUAAAAAUAUUAUUGUUUAA